rnacentral:rRNA from 1 species
AUACGGCUAGGCUAGAGGGAUGGAAGGAGGGGUCGCCGGAAUUCCCAGUGGUAGGAGGUGAAAUUCGUAGAUAUUGGGGAAAGACCCCCGGUGGCGAAGGCCGGCGACCUGGUCUCAUUUACUGACGCUGAGGGCGCGGACAGCGUGGGGAGCAAACAGGAUUUAGAUACCCCUGGUAGUCCACGCCCGUAAACCGAUGUGCGCUGGAUGUUGGGGUGGCCUAGCCACUCAGUGUCGUAGCUAACGCGGUAAAGCGCACCGCCUGGGGAGUACGGCCGCAAGGUUGAAACUCAAAGGAAUUGACGGGGGCCCGCACAAGCGGUGGAGCAUGUGGUUUAAUUCGAAGCAACGCGCAGAACCUUACCAGCCCUUGACAUGGUCACGACUGGUUCAGAGAUGGACCUUCCCCGCAAGGGGCGUGAUGCACAGGUGCUGCAUGGCUGUCGUCAGCUCGUGCCGUGAGAUGUUGGGUUAAGUCCCGCAACGAGCGCAACCCUCGCCUUUAGUUGCCAGCACGUUUGGGUGGGCACUCUAGAGGAACUGCCGGUGACAAGCCGGAGGAAGGUGGGGAUGACGUCAAGUCCUCAUGGCCCUUAUGGGCUGGGCUACACACGUGCUACAAUGGCGGUGACAAUGGGAAGCCAGGUAGCGAUACCGAGCCGAUCCCAAAAAGCUGUCUCAGUUCAGAUCGCAUUCUGCAACUCGGAUGCGUGAAGGUGGAAUCGCUAGUAAUCGCGGAUCGGCACGCCGCGGUGAAUACGUUCCCGGGCCUUGUCUCUCCCCCGUC